rnacentral:rRNA from 1 species
GAAACAUCUAAGUACCCCGAGGAAAAGAAAUCAACCGAGAUUCCCCCAGUAGCGGCGAGCGAACGGGGAGCAGCCCAGAGCCUGAAUCAGUGUGUGUGUUAGUGGAAGCGUCUGGAAAGGCGCGCGAUACAGGGUGACAGCCCCGUACACAAAAAUGCACAUGCUGUGAGCUCGAUGAGUAGGGCGGGACACGUGGUAUCCUGUCUGAAUAUGGGGGGACCAUCCUCCAAGGCUAAAUACUCCUGACUGACCGAUAGUGAACCAGUACCGUGAGGGAAAGGCGAAAAGAACCCCGGCGAGGGGAGUGAAAAAGAACCUGAAACCGUGUACGUACAAGCAGUGGGAGCACGCUUAGGCGUGUGACUGCGUACCUUUUGUAUAAUGGGUCAGCGACUUAUAUUCUGUAGCAAGGUUAACCGAAUAGGGGAGCCGAAGGGAAACCGAGUCUUAACUGGGCGUUAAGUUGCAGGGUAUAGACCCGAAACCCGGUGAUCUAGCCAUGGGCAGGUUGAAGGUUGGGUAACACUAACUGGAGGACCGAACCGACUAAUGUUGAAAAAUUAGCGGAUGACUUGUGGCUGGGGGUGAAAGGCCAAUCAAACCGGGAGAUAGCUGGUUCUCCCCGAAAGCUAUUUAGGUAGCGCCUCGUGAAUUCAUCUCCGGGGGUAGAGCACUGUUUCGGCAAGGGGGUCAUCCCGACUUACCAACCCGAUGCAAACUGCGAAUACCGGAGAAUGUUAUCACGGGAGACACACGGCGGGUGCUAACGUCCGUCGUGAAGAGGGAAACAACCCAGACCGCCAGCUAAGGUCCCAAAGUCAUGGUUAAGUGGGAAACGAUGUGGGAAGGCCCAGACAGCCAGGAUGUUGGCUUAGAAGCAGCCAUCAUUUAAAGAAAGCGUAAUAGCUCACUGGUCGAGUCGGCCUGCGCGGAAGAUGUAACGGGGCUAAACCAUGCACCGAAGCUGCGGCAGCGACGCUUAUGCGUUGUUGGGUAGGGGAGCGUUCUGUAAGCCUGUGAAGGUGUGCUGUGAGGCAUGCUGGAGGUAUCAGAAGUGCGAAUGCUGACAUAAGUAACGAUAAAGCGGGUGAAAAGCCCGCUCGCCGGAAGACCAAGGGUUCCUGUCCAACGUUAAUCGGGGCAGGGUGAGUCGACCCCUAAGGCGAGGCCGAAAGGCGUAGUCGAUGGGAAACAGGUUAAUAUUCCUGUACUUGGUGUUACUGCGAAGGGGGGACGGAGAAGGCUAUGUUGGCCGGGCGACGGUUGUCCCGGUUUAAGCGUGUAGGCUGGUUUUCCAGGCAAAUCCGGAAAAUCAAGGCUGAGGCGUGAUGACGAGGCACUACGGUGCUGAAGCAACAAAUGCCCUGCUUCCAGGAAAAGCCUCUAAGCAUCAGGUAACAUCAAAUCGUACCCCAAACCGACACAGGUGGUCAGGUAGAGAAUACCAAGGCGCUUGAGAGAACUCGGGUGAAGGAACUAGGCAAAAUGGUGCCGUAACUUCGGGAGAAGGCACGCUGAUAUGUAGGUGAAGUCCCUCGCGGAUGGAGCUGAAAUCAGUCGAAGAUACCAGCUGGCUGCAACUGUUUAUUAAAAACACAGCACUGUGCAAACACGAAAGUGGACGUAUACGGUGUGACGCCUGCCCGGUGCCGGAAGGUUAAUUGAUGGGGUCAGCGCAAGCGAAGCUCUUGAUCGAAGCCCCGGUAAACGGCGGCCGUAACUAUAACGGUCCUAAGGUAGCGAAAUUCCUUGUCGGGUAAGUUCCGACCUGCACGAAUGGCGUAAUGAUGGCCAGGCUGUCUCCACCCGAGACUCAGUGAAAUUGAACUCGCUGUGAAGAUGCAGUGUACCCGCGGCAAGACGGAAAGACCCCGUGAACCUUUACUAUAGCUUGACACUGAACAUUGAGCCUUGAUGUGUAGGAUAGGUGGGAGGCUUAGAAGUGUGGACGCCAGUCUGCAUGGAGCCGACCUUGAAAUACCACCCUUUAAUGUUUGAUGUUCUAACGUUGACCCGUAAUCCGGGUUGCGGACAGUGUCUGGUGGGUAGUUUGACUGGGGCGGUCUCCUCCUAAAGAGUAACGGAGGAGCACGAAGGUUGGCUAAUCCUGGUCGGACAUCAGGAGGUUAGUGCAAUGGCAUAAGCCAGCUUGACUGCGAGCGUGACGGCGCGAGCAGGUGCGAAAGCAGGUCAUAGUGAUCCGGUGGUUCUGAAUGGAAGGGCCAUCGCUCAACGGAUAAAAGGUACUCCGGGGAUAACAGGCUGAUACCGCCCAAGAGUUCAUAUCGACGGCGGUGUUUGGCACCUCGAUGUCGGCUCAUCACAUCCUGGGGCUGAAGUAGGUCCCAAGGGUAUGGCUGUUCGCCAUUUAAAGUGGUACGCGAGCUGGGUUUAGAACGUCGUGAGACAGUUCGGUCCCUAUCUGCCGUGGGCGCUGGAGAACUGAGGGGGGCUGCUCCUAGUACGAGAGGACCGGAGUGGACGCAUCACUGGUGUUCGGGUUGUCAUGCCAAUGGCACUGCCCGGUAGCUAAAUGCGGAAGAGAUAAGUGCUGAAAGCAUCUAAGCACGAAACUUGCC